rnacentral:rRNA from 1 species
CCUACGGGAGGCAGCAGUGAGGAAUAUUGGUCAAUGGACGAGAGUCUGAACCAGCCAAGUAGCGUGAAGGAUGACUGCCCUAUGGGUUGUAAACUUCUUUUAUAUGGGAAUAAAAUGUUCCACGUGUGGGAUUUUGUAUGUACCAUAUGAAUAAGGAUCGGCUAACUCCGUGCCAGCAGCCGCGGUAAUACGGAGGAUUCGAGCGUUAUCCGGUUUUAUUGGGUGUAAAGGGAGCGUAGGUGGAUUGUUAAGUCAGUUGUGAAAGUUGGAGGCUCAACCGUAAAAUUGCAGUUGAAACUGGCAGUCUGGAGUACAGUAGAGGUGGGCGGAAUUCGUGGUGUAGCGGUGAAAUGCUUAGAUAUCACGAAGAACACCGAUGGCGAAGGCAGCUCACUGGACUGCAACUGACACUGAGGCUCGAAAGUGUGGGUAUCAAACAGGAUUAGAUACCCCUGUAGUC